ensembl:snoRNA
AUCCUUUUGUAGUUCAGUGUGAUGACUGGGUUUUCGCACUCAUAGCUGAGGGGUACCUCCCUCAAACCUGGUUACACUGACAUAUUACCCCGCUGACA